GGGGGCAGGCCGGAUCCUGGGCUGUCUCCCCGGCGCCCUGUGCUCAGGGGCCUGCGCUGUUGGAUUCGCGCCCCCUCUGCGGAGUCACUGCCCGAGCCCCU
rnacentral:pre_miRNA from 1 species